GGGUUGUGAGGUUAAGCGACUAAGCGUACACGGUGGAUGCCCUGGCAGUCAGAGGCGAUGAAGGACGUGCUAAUCUGCGAUAAGCGUCGGUAAGGUGAUAUGAACCGUUAUAACCGGCGAUUUCCGAAUGGGGAAACCCAGUGUGAUUCGUCACACUAUCAUUAACUGAAUCCAUAGGUUAAUGAGGCGAACCGGGGGAACUGAAACAUCUAAGUACCCCGAGGAAAAGAAAUCAACCGAGAUUCCCCCAGUAGCGGCGAGCGAACGGGGAGCAGCCCAGAGCCUGAAUCAGUGUGUGUGUUAGUGGAAGCGUCUGGAAAGGCGUGCGAUACAGGGUGACAGCCCCGUACACAAAAAUGCACAUACUGUGAGCUCGAUGAGUAGGGCGGGACACGUGGUAUCCUGUCUGAAUAUGGGGGGACCAUCCUCCAAGGCUAAAUACUCCUGACUGACCGAUAGUGAACCAGUACCGUGAGGGAAAGGCGAAAAGAACCCCGGCGAGGGGAGUGAAAAAGAACCUGAAACCGUGUACGUACAAGCAGUGGGAGCACGCUUAGGCGUGUGACUGCGUACCUUUUGUAUAAUGGGUCAGCGACUUAUAUUCUGUAGCAAGGUUAACCGAAUAGGGGAGCCGAAGGGAAACCGAGUCUUAACUGGGCGUUAAGUUGCAGGGUAUAGACCCGAAACCCGGUGAUCUAGCCAUGGGCAGGUUGAAGGUUGGGUAACACUAACUGGAGGACCGAACCGACUAAUGUUGAAAAAUUAGCGGAUGACUUGUGGCUGGGGGUGAAAGGCCAAUCAAACCGGGAGAUAGCUGGUUCUCCCCGAAAGCUAUUUAGGUAGCGCCUCGUGAAUUCAUCUCCGGGGGUAGAGCACUGUUUCGGCAAGGGGGUCAUCCCGACUUACCAACCCGAUGCAAACUACGAAUACCGGAGAAUGUUAUCACGGGAGACACACGGCGGGUGCUAACGUCCGUCGUGAAGAGGGAAACAACCCAGACCGCCAGCUAAGGUCCCAAAGUCAUGGUUAAGUGGGAAACGAUGUGGGAAGGCCCAGACAGCCAGGAUGUUGGCUUAGAAGCAGCCAUCAUUUAAAGAAAGCGUAAUAGCUCACUGGUCGAGUCGGCCUGCGCGGAAGAUGUAACGGGGCUAAACCAUGCACCGAAGCUGCGGCAGCGACGCUGAUGCGUUGUUGGGUAGGGGAGCGUUCUGUAAGCCUGCGAAGGUGUGCUGUGAGGCAUGCUGGAGGUAUCAGAAGUGCGAAUGCUGACAUAAGUAACGAUAAAGCGGGUGAAAAGCCCGCUCGCCGGAAGACCAAGGGUUCCUGUCCAACGUUAAUCGGGGCAGGGUGAGUCGACCCCUAAGGCGAGGCCGAAAGGCGUAGUCGAUGGGAAACAGGUUAAUAUUCCUGUACUUGGUGUUACUGCGAAGGGGGGACGGAGAAGGCUAUGUUGGCCGGGCGACGGUUGUCCCGGUUUAAGCGUGUAGGCUGGUUUUCCAGGCAAAUCCGGAAAAUCAAGGCUGAGGCGUGAUGACGAGGCACUACGGUGCUGAAGCAACAAAUGCCCUGCUUCCAGGAAAAGCCUCUAAGCAUCAGGUAACAUCAAAUCGUACCCCAAACCGACACAGGUGGUCAGGUAGAGAAUACCAAGGCGCUUGAGAGAACUCGGGUGAAGGAACUAGGCAAAAUGGUGCCGUAACUUCGGGAGAAGGCACGCUGAUAUGUAGGUGAAGCGACUUGCUCGUGGAGCUGAAAUCAGUCGAAGAUACCAGCUGGCUGCAACUGUUUAUUAAAAACACAGCACUGUGCAAACACGAAAGUGGACGUAUACGGUGUGACGCCUGCCCGGUGCCGGAAGGUUAAUUGAUGGGGUCAGCGCAAGCGAAGCUCUUGAUCGAAGCCCCGGUAAACGGCGGCCGUAACUAUAACGGUCCUAAGGUAGCGAAAUUCCUUGUCGGGUAAGUUCCGACCUGCACGAAUGGCGUAAUGAUGGCCAGGCUGUCUCCACCCGAGACUCAGUGAAAUUGAACUCGCUGUGAAGAUGCAGUGUACCCGCGGCAAGACGGAAAGACCCCGUGAACCUUUACUAUAGCUUGACACUGAACAUUGAGCCUUGAUGUGUAGGAUAGGUGGGAGGCUUUGAAGUGUGGACGCCAGUCUGCAUGGAGCCGACCUUGAAAUACCACCCUUUAAUGUUUGAUGUUCUAACGUGGACCCGUGAUCCGGGUUGCGGACAGUGUCUGGUGGGUAGUUUGACUGGGGCGGUCUCCUCCUAAAGAGUAACGGAGGAGCACGAAGGUUGGCUAAUCCUGGUCGGACAUCAGGAGGUUAGUGCAAUGGCAUAAGCCAGCUUGACUGCGAGCGUGACGGCGCGAGCAGGUGCGAAAGCAGGUCAUAGUGAUCCGGUGGUUCUGAAUGGAAGGGCCAUCGCUCAACGGAUAAAAGGUACUCCGGGGAUAACAGGCUGAUACCGCCCAAGAGUUCAUAUCGACGGCGGUGUUUGGCACCUCGAUGUCGGCUCAUCACAUCCUGGGGCUGAAGUAGGUCCCAAGGGUAUGGCUGUUCGCCAUUUAAAGUGGUACGCGAGCUGGGUUUAGAACGUCGUGAGACAGUUCGGUCCCUAUCUGCCGUGGGCGCUGGAGAACUGAGGGGGGCUGCUCCUAGUACGAGAGGACCGGAGUGGACGCAUCACUGGUGUUCGGGUUGUCAUGCCAAUGGCACUGCCCGGUAGCUAAAUGCGGAAGAGAUAAGUGCUGAAAGCAUCUAAGCACGAAACUUGCCCCGAGAUGAGUUCUCCCUGACUCCUUGAGAGUCCUGAAGGAACGUUGAAGACGACGACGUUGAUAGGCCGGGUGUGUAAGCGCAGCGAUGCGUUGAGCUAACCGGUACUAAUGAACCGUGAGGCUUAACCUUACAACGCCGAAGGUGUUU
rnacentral:rRNA from 2 species